UACGUAGGGUGCAAGCGUUGUCCGGAAUCAUUGGGCGUAAAGAGCGUGUAGGCGGUCCGAUAAGUCGGUUGUGAAAGUCAAAGGCUCAACCUUUGAAAGCCGAUGGAUACUGCCGGGCUAGAGUCCGGAAGAGGCGAGUGGAAUUCCUGGUGUAGCGGUGGAAUGCGCAGAUAUCAGGAGGAACACCGAUAGCGAAGGCAGCUCGCUGGGACGGUACUGACGCUGAGGCGCGAAAGCGUGGGGAGCGAACAGG
rnacentral:rRNA from 1 species